UGUUAAACGUUUCAUUUAUUUGUACUGUUAAAAACUAGUGUAAUUAAUAAAAUAGCCAGACAAUAACACGUGGUGUGCUAUGUAUAUGUUAUACUGACAUACAAUGACCAAUUUUUAACUGUAAAAUAGAUUGGAUAUCUAACA
rnacentral:pre_miRNA from 1 species